CGUGUAGGCGGUUUUUUAAGUCAGGUGUGAAAGUUCGGGGCUUAACCCCGGAAUUGCAUUUGAAACUGGAGAACUUGAGUACUGGAGAGGUAAGUGGAAUUCCUAGUGUAGCGGUGAAAUGCGUAGAUAUUAGGAGGAACACCAGUGGCGAAGGCGACUUACUGGACAGAUACUGACGCUGAGGCGCGAAAGCGUGGGGAGCGAACAG
rnacentral:rRNA from 1 species